rnacentral:hammerhead_ribozyme from 1 species
AUCCAGCUGAAGAGUCCCAAAUAGGACGAAAGUCGCAUGAAACUGGAU